UGAGGAACUAUAUUAAAGGAUGGCAACAUCAGGGAGGCUGAGGACCACUGCUCUAAGUAUUGGAUGUCUUGGAUGAUGCUGAAAGGAAGACUAAAAGCAAGAACCAGUCACAAUUCCUCUGGUCUUCAAAUAUAAAUGCAGCCAGGGGUGGGGUAUAGGACUUUUAGUCUAGGCACUUGGCAGAGACCAGCCUGGUCAACGUAGCAAGUUCCAAGCCUGGGUAUGUAUGUAUGUAUGUAUGUAUGUAUGUGUGUAAAAGAAGUCAAGCUGAGUAUGUUGAUACACACCUGUAAUCUUAGCACUUAGGAGACCAAGGUGGAAGAACCAUAAUAGUUCAAGGAUAUCCUCGGCUACAUAGCAAGGCCGAGGUCAUACUGAACUCUGUGAGACACUGUCUCAAACACAAUAGUAACAACAAAGUUGUCUGGAAGUUAGGGUGUACCUCAGUGGUAGAGCAUU
ensembl:sense_intronic Gm38163 predicted gene, 38163